rnacentral:tRNA from 1 species
GUAAAAUUUCUCUUUGCCAAGGAGAAGACGCGGGUUCAAUUCCCGCUAUCCGCCCCCCCCCUUUUUUUAUUUC